rnacentral:piRNA from 1 species
UGAUCUGUGACCUUACCCCCAACCCCGUGC